rnacentral:rRNA from 1 species
UACGUAGGCAGCAAGCGUUGUUCGGAAUUACUGGGCGUAAAGGGCUCGUAGGUGGCCAACUAAGUCGGACGUGAAAUCCCUCAGCUUAACUGGGGAACUGCGUCCGAUACUGGAUGGCUUGAGUUUGGGAGAGGGAUGCGGAAUUCCAGGUGUAGCGGUGAAAUGCGUAGAUAUCUGGAGGAACACCGGUGGCGAGGGCGGCAUCCUGGACCAACACUGACACUGAGGAGCGAAAGCCAGGGGAGCAAACGGG